rnacentral:rRNA from 1 species
UACGUAGGGUGCAAGCGUUACUCGGAUUUAUUGGGCGUAAAGCGCAUGUAGGCGGUUUUGUAAGUCUGAUGUGAAAUCCCUGGACUCAAUUCAGGAACUGCAUUGGAUACUGCAAGACUAGAGUACGGGAGAGGUAGGUGGAAUUCCUGGUGUAGAGGUGAAAUUCGUAGAUAUCAGGAGGAACAACAGAGGCGAAGGCGACUUACUGGACCGUAACUGACGCUGAGAUGCGACAGUGUGGGGAGCAAACAGG